GACGAACGCUGGCGGCGUGCUUAACGCAUGCAAGUCGAGCGAUGAAAUUCCUUCGGGAGUGGAUUAGCGGCGGACGGGUGAGUAACACGUGGGCAACCUGCCUUAGAGAGAGGAAUAGCCAUCCGAAAGGAUGAUUAAUACCUCAUAAUAUUGUAGCUUCGCAUGGAGUAACAAUCAAAGGAGCAAUCCACUAUAAGAUGGGCCCGCGGCGCAUUAGCUAGUUGGUGAGGUAACGGCUCACCAAGGCGACGAUGCGUAGCAGACCUGAGAGGGUGAGCGGCCACAUGGGGACUGAGACACGGCCCAGACUCCGACGGGAGGCAGAAGUGGGGAAUAUUGCACAAUGGGGGAAACCCUGAUGCAGCAACGCCGCGUGCGUGAUGACGGCAGUCGGGUUGUAAAGCUCUGUCUUCAGUGACGAUAUUGACGGAACCUGAGGAGGAAGCCACGGCUAACUACGUGCCAGCCGCCGCGUAACAC
rnacentral:rRNA from 1 species